GGACUCAGUCACAUCAGAGUCACAGUCACUGAUUUCUAUGACCUUUCUAAAUGCUCUCCUUCCUUCCCAUGCAACUGCUGGUAUCUAAAUUGUUUAAUGUUACUAUGAGGAAAAAAGAUAUUCUUGGAUUAAGAAAUAUGAAAUCCAAGUUGAAUGUGGUAUAAACCAUGAAGUCCUGCCUCAAAUGGAGACCAGUAGUUGAGAUUUCAGAGCUGGCC
rnacentral:lncRNA from 1 species